UGGGGAAUAUUGCACAAUGGGGGAAACCCUGAUGCAGCGACGCCGCGUGAACGAAGAAGGUAUUCGUAUCGUAAAGUUCUGUCCUAUGGGAAGAUAAUGACAGUACCAUAGAAGAAAGCUCCGGCUAAAUACGUGCCAGCAGCCGCGGUAAUACGUAUGGAGCGAGCGUUGUCCGGAAUUAUUGGGCGUAAAGGGUACGUAGGCGGUUUUUUAAGUCUGAUGUGAAAGCCCACGGCUCAACCGUGGAGGGUCAUUGGAAACUGGAAAACUUGAGUGCAGAAGAGGAAAGUGGAAUUCCAUGUGUAGCGGUGAAAUGCGCAGAGAUAUGGAGGAACACCAGUGGCGAAGGCGACUUUCUGGUCUGUAACUGACGCUGAUGUGCGAAAGCGUGGGAAUCAAACAGG
rnacentral:rRNA from 1 species